AAUAGAUACCCGGUAGUCCAUGCCGUAAACGUUGGGCGCUAGAUGUGGGGACCAUUCCACGGUUUCCGUGUCGCAGCUAACGCAUUAAGCGCCCCGCCUGGGGAGUACGGCCGCAAGGCUAAAACUCAAAGGAAUUGACGGGGGCCCGCACAAGCGGCGGAGCAUGCGGAUUAAUUCGAUGCAACGCGAAGAACCUUACCAAGGCUUGACAUAUACGAGAACGCUGCAGAAAUGUAGAACUCUUUGGACACUCGUAUACAGGUGGUGCAUGGUUGUCGUCAGCUCGUGUCGUGAGAUGUUGGGUUAAGUCCCGCAACGAGCGCAACCCUCGUUCUAUGUUGCCAGCACGUAAUGGUGGGAACUCAUAGGAGACUGCCGGGGUUCAACUCGGAGGGAGGUGGGGAUGACGUCAAAUCAUCAUGCCCCUUAUGUCUUGGGCUUCACGCAUGCUACAAUGGCCGGUACAAAGGGCUGCAAUACCGUAAGGUGGAGCGAAUCCCGAAAAAGCCGGUCUCAGUUCGGA
rnacentral:rRNA from 1 species